UUUCCUUUAGCUCAAAUGGUAAAGAAUCUGCCUGCAAUGCAGGAAACCCAGGUUCAAUCCCUGAGUAGGGAGA
rnacentral:tRNA from 1 species